AGCGAACGCUGGCGGCAGGCUUAACACAUGCAAGUCGAGCGGGCGUAGCAAUACGUCAGCGGCAGACGGGUGAGUAACGCGUGGGAACGUACCUUUUGGUUCGGAACAACACAGGGAAACUUGUGCUAAUACCGGAUAAGCCCUUACGGGGAAAGAUUUAUCGCCGAAAGAUCGGCCCGCGUCUGAUUAGCUAGUUGGUGAGGUAAUGACUCACCAAGGCGACGAUCAGUAGCUGGUCUGAGAGGAUGAUCAGCCACAUUGGGACUGAGACACGGCCCAAACUCCUACGGGAGGCAGCAGUGGGGAAUAUUGGACAAUGGGGGCAACCCUGAUCCAGCCAUGCCGCGUGAGUGAUGAAGGCCCUAGGGUUGUAAAGCUCUUUUGUGCGGGAAGAUAAUGACGGUACCGCAAGAAUAAGCCCCGGCUAACUUCGUGCCAGCCGCCGCGGUAACAC
rnacentral:rRNA from 1 species